UACGGAGGGUGCAAGCGUUAUCCGGAUUCACUGGGUUUAAAGGGUGCGUAGGUGGGUUGGUAAGUCAGUGGUGAAAUCUCCGUGCUUAACAUGGAAACUGCCAUUGAUACUACUGAUCUUGAAUUUUCUGGAGGAUAGCGGAAUAUGUCAUGUAGCGGUGAAAUGCUUAGAUAUGACAUAGAACACCAAUUGCGCAGGCAGCUAUCUACAGGGAUAUUGACACUGAGGCACGAAAGCGUGGGGAUCAAACAGGG
rnacentral:rRNA from 1 species